rnacentral:rRNA from 1 species
GGAUUCCCCUAGUAACGGCGAGUGAAGCGGGAUGAGCUCAAAUUUAAAAUCUGGUGGUCUUUGGCCAUCCGAGUUGUAAUCUAGAGAAGUGUUUUCCGUGCUGGACCAUGUACAAGUUUCCUGGAACGGAACGUCAUAGAGGGUGAGAAUCCCGUCCUUGACAUGGACUACCAGUGCUCUGUGAUACACUCUCAACGAGUCGAGUUGUUUGGGAUUGCAGCUCAAAAUGGGAGGUAAAUUCCUUCUAAAGCUAAAUAUUGGCGAGAGACCGAUAGCGAACAAGUACCGUGAGGGAAAGAUGAAAAGCACUUUGGAAAGAGAGUUAAACAGUACGUGAAAUUGUUAAAAGGGAAACGAUUGAAGUCAGUCGCGUCUACUUGGACUCAGCCUUACCCUUGGGUUUGGUGCAUUUCCUUGUGGACGGGCCAGCGUCAAUGUUAUUUACUGGAAAAGGGUUAAAGGAAUGUGGCUCUUUCGGGAGUGUUAUAGCCUUUGAUCGUAUACAGCGAGUGAUAUUGAGUGGUACAGCAUGCUUCGGCGGUGCUUGUGCUGGCAUAAUGGCUUUAAACGA